GGGAGGAAGAUCUUCAAUGGGCACCUGUUCUAAAGUUCCCUGGGAAUGUGGACAUUCUCCUCUUGAGAAGGUAUAAUGAAGGUUUGGCUCGUCCCUCCAGUCUCACAACAUCAUUUGAUUUCUACAUGGGAGGAAGAAAAUGUAUGGGUGUUUCAUUACCUGAGAUUCAAAGGUUAACUCUCUGCAGGGAAAAAUUAUGAAAAAUCUGAAUGUUUAAAUGAAGACAAAACAGGUUAUUAUCUUCUCAAUAGAAGUACAGAAGCAAAGAAUUUUCAACAAUGAAAGCCUGAUCUAAACUGAAUACUCAGUUUACUCACAAUUUUAAGCUGGAACCGUUUCCAAGGAAGCAGCGUGAGAGAGCAUGGUGUUAUUGGGACCGUCUGGAUGCUAUAUGUGACUGAAUCCAGUUAAGGCCUCUAUACAAACUUAAGAUUCUGGUGGGCGAGUGCAGAGAUCCACUCACCUUGUAGCUGCCCAGGACAAGCCUCAUAUGAUGCAGCAGACCUCAGACUCCACCGCAUCUACGGGGAUGAAUCUCUCAGAAGCUCAAGCUGCACCAAGCCGUCCCAGGCUCCUCCCUCUCAGGCUCCUCAUUGGCUGGCAGAGCGGUGGGACCUUGGAAUCCUCGCUGCCUCCCUUUGAACCUUGGAAAUGAGGAGAGAGCAAAACGAAUUACAUCCUUAACCGGGAGUUCAAAGAGUUAAAUGUCUAUUUUUGGAGAGGUCGAAUCAGGGCAGCUGCUGGCGACAAAACCUGCCCUUGCUACUGAGCAUGCUCAGCGUCACUUAGAAACCCACAGAAGUUUCAGGAUAUACGUCUCUUCUCUAAGGUUUUAGUGGAUACCACAAGAAGAGCAAAAAGGAAGGGAGAUUUUCAAGAGCUGUAAAACGAGAUGAGGGAGAAGGAACGAGGGAAAUGGGGGAGGAGGGACAAGAGUGUCAACAUAAAGAGUCUGAAAAGAGUAUUGAAUGAAUCUAAAAUGGAGAGAAAAGAAAGUGACAAGUGUGGAGGCCACUGGAAAAAACAAAGUAUCAAAUACUUAGAUACGAUCUUUGGUGCCACUGCCCCAACCCCCAUUUUGUUUUUUUCUGUGAUUCCACAUGAAGUCCUAGAACCUAUCAGACAAGUUGUAAUUGAGGAUAUUCCUUUUUGUGGGUUUUUUGUUUUGUUUUCUUUUGGGGGGGGUUGUUUGUUUUUGGUAAAUAGAAGUCUUCUGUAGUAUAAAAAAUAAUUAUUUGCUAUACUCCCAUCCGUAUGUUUACUUGUCCUUAUAGUAAAAAUCUUCCAACUCCAUAACGGCUAUUUUUAGCAAUGGAGCAUAUUUAUUUACAAUGUAACUAUUAAAUAAACGAGUGCAAGGUUUCA